UACGAGUGCAAUGGACAGACGUACUGU
rnacentral:piRNA from 1 species